rnacentral:tmRNA from 1 species
GGGGGCGAACUAGAUUCGACGGGGAUGGCGGGUUGUCAGAUGGCGAGCCGAGUUCCGGACGCUCGUAAAACAGCCGGGGCCAAUAAGUGCCAACGACACCACUGAAUACGCCUUAGCUGCUUAAUGCGGCUGACGUGACGGAAGACUCUGCCCACCGGUCGACCGAUCACGUAAAGCGCGUGGGCUCUUCCUCCGGAUGGCCCGAGCCGGUGGAGAACUUGGGGCUGGCCCGUCAAAAGCGCGCCCUGUGCGCGUUUGGCGGGUGAGAGGAAUACGCAGGGCUACGCUCGUAGAGGUCUGACAGAUCGCAUUCUCGGACGGGACGGGCAGUACGUCCCCGCCUCCACCA